UACGUAGGAGGCGAGCGUUGUCCGGAGGUACUGGGCGUAAAGGGUGCGUAGGCGGCCGCGCGCGUGGCGGGUGAAAUCUCCCGGCUUACCCGGGAGGGUGCUUGCCAGACGGCGUGGCUUGAGGGACGGAGAGGGGCGUGGAAUUCCGGGUGGAGCGGUGAAAUGCGUAGAGAUCCGGAGGAACACCGACGGCGUAGGCAGCGCCCUGGCCGUUUCCUGACGCUGAUGCACGAAAGCUGGGGGAGCAAACAGG
rnacentral:rRNA from 1 species